rnacentral:misc_RNA from 1 species
GAUGAAGAACGCAGCGAAAUGCGAUAAGUAAUGUGAAUUGCAGAAUUCAGUGAAUCAUCGAAUCUUUGAACGCACAUUGCGCCCUCCGGUAUUCCGGGGGGCAUGCCUGUUCGAGCGUCAUUACAACCCUCAAGCUUUGCUUGGUAUUGGACAUUGCCAGUUUCUGGCAGGUCUUAAAAUCAGUGGCGGUGCCAUUUGGCUUCAAGCGUAGUAAUUCUUCUCGCUUUGGAGAUCCAGGUGGUUACUUGCCAAUAACCCCCAAUUUUUUCAGGUUGACCUCGGAUCAGGUAGGGAUACCCGCUGAACUUAAGCAUAUCAAUAAGCGGAGGA